CAACAGGGAUUGCCUCAGUACGGGCGAGUGAAGCGGCAACAGCUCAAAUUUGAAAUCUGGCCUCCUUGGGGGUCCGAGUUGUAAUUUGUAGAGGAUGCUUCGGCGUGGGCCCCGGUCUAAGUUCCUUGGAACAGGACGUCACAGAGGGUGAGAAUCCCGUACGUGGCCGUGGGUGCUCGCCAUGUGAAGCUCCUUCGACGAGUCGAGUUGUUUGGGAAUGCAGCUCUAAAUGGGAGGUAUAUUUCUUCUAAAGCUAAAUAUUGGCCAGAGACCGAUAGCGCACAAGUAGAGUGAUCGAAAGAUGAAAAGCACUUUGGAAAGAGAGUCAAAAAGUACGUGAAAUUGUUGAAAGGGAAGCGCUUGCAACCAGACCUGUCUGCAGUUGCUCAUCCGGGCUUCUGCCCGGUGCACUCUUCUGCAGUCAGGCCAGCAUCAGUUCUGGCGGUCGGAUAAAGGCGGUGGGAAUGUGGCUCCUCUCGGGGAGUGUUAUAGCCCAUCGUGCAAUGCGGCCAGCUGGGACUGAGGUCCGCGCUUCGGCUAGGAUGCUGGCGUAAUGGUUGUAAGCGGCCCGUCUUGAAACACGGACCAAGGAGUCUAACAUCUGUGCGAGUGUUUGGGUGUCAAGCCCAGGCGCGUAAUGAAAGUGAACGGAGGCGGGAACCUUCGGGUGCACCGUCGACCGAUCCUGAUGUCUUCGGAUGGAUUUGAGUAAGAGCAUAGCUGUUGGGACCCGAAAGAUGGUGAACUAUGCCUGAAUAGGGUGAAGCCAGAGGAAACUCUGGUGGAGGCUCGCAGCGGUUCUGACGUGCAAAUCGAUCGUCAAAUUUGGGCAUAGGGGCGAA
rnacentral:rRNA from 1 species